rnacentral:rRNA from 1 species
AGAGUUUGAUCCUGGCUCAGGACGAACGCUGGCGGCGUGCCUAAUACAUGCAAGUAGAACGCUGAAGAGAGGAGCUUGCUCUUCUUGGAUGAGUUGCGAACGGGUGAGUAACGCGUAGGUAACCUGCCUUGUAGCGGGGGAUAACUAUUGGAAACGAUAGCUAAUACCGCAUAACAAUGGAUGACCCAUGUCAUUUAUUUGAAAGGGGCAAAUGCUCCACUACAAGAUGGACCUGCGUUGUAUUAGCUAGUAGGUGAGGUAACGGCUCGCCUAGGCGACGAUACAUAGCCGACCUGAGAGGGUGAUCGGCCACACUGGGACUGAGACACGGCCCAGACUCCUACGGGAGGCAGCAGUAGGGAAUCUUCGGCAAUGGGGGCAACCCUGACCGAGCAACGCCGCGUGAGUGAAGAAGGUUUUCGGAUCGUAAAGCUCUGUUGUAAGUCAAGAACGAGUGUGAGAGUGGAAAGUUCACACUGUGACGGUAGCUUACCAGAAAGGGACGGCUAACUACGUGCCAGCAGCCGCGGUAAUACGUAGGUCCCGAGCGUUGUCCGGAUUUAUUGGGCGUAAAGCGAGCGCAGGCGGUUUGAUAAGUCUGAAGUUAAAGGCUGUGGCUCAACCAUAGUUCGCUUUGGAAACUGUCAAACUUGAGUGCAGAAGGGGAGAGUGGAAUUCCAUGUGUAGCGGUGAAAUGCGUAGAUAUAUGGAGGAACACCGGUGGCGAAAGCGGCUCUCUGGUCUGUAACUGACGCUGAGGCUCGAAAGCGUGGGGAGCGAACAGGAUUAGAUACCCUGGUAGUCCACGCCGUAAACGAUGAGUGCUAGGUGUUGGAUCCUUUCCGGGAUUCAGUGCCGCAGCUAACGCAUUAAGCACUCCGCCUGGGGAGUACGACCGCAAGGUUGAAACUCAAAGGAAUUGACGGGGGCCCGCACAAGCGGUGGAGCAUGUGGUUUAAUUCGAAGCAACGCGAAGAACCUUACCAGGUCUUGACAUCCCGAUGCUAUUUCUAGAGAUAGAAAGUUACUUCGGUACAUCGGUGACAGGUGGUGCAUGGUUGUCGUCAGCUCGUGUCGUGAGAUGUUGGGUUAAGUCCCGCAACGAGCGCAACCCCUAUUGUUAGUUGCCAUCAUUCAGUUGGGCACUCUAGCGAGACUGCCGGUAAUAAACCGGAGGAAGGUGGGGAUGACGUCAAAUCAUCAUGCCCCUUAUGACCUGGGCUACACACGUGCUACAAUGGUUGGUACAACGAGUUGCGAGUCGGUGACGGCAAGCUAAUCUCUUAAAGCCAAUCUCAGUUCGGAUUGUAGGCUGCAACUCGCCUACAUGAAGUCGGAAUCGCUAGUAAUCGCGGAUCAGCACGCCGCGGUGAAUACGUUCCCGGGCCUUGUACACACCGCCCGUCACACCACGAGAGUUUGUAACACCCGAAGUCGGUGAGGUAACCUUUUGGAGCCAGCCGCCUAAGGUGGGAUAGAUGAUUGGGGUGAAGUCGUAACAAGGUA